AUAAAUCAGUGUUUUGCUGAUUGCUUUUUGGGUAAUAAUACUUUCUUUGUUGGAACUUGAGUAGUUUUAUUCUAUCAUUCCUCCAUUGAUUUUAGGUAUAUGAGAAAUGCAUGAUUAUUAAGAUGGGAGCUCAUUAGUUGUUAUAUCUAACUGUUAAUCCUCCGGUGUUGAGAUUAUUCUUGAUGGGUUUUGAUGGCUUGCAAGAUUCUAUACCUUUUAUUUUUCUGUUUUUCUAUUUCUCCGGAAGGACCAAGGAAGCAGCGCGCUACU
rnacentral:lncRNA from 1 species